UAACACCUCUGGAUCCAGGGUGGGCUUUUUAGUAGAGGUUUAAUUACAGCUACCUUAAAAGACUGUGGUACAUAGCCUGUUAAUAAGGAUAUAUUGAUCAUAUCUAAUAUAUGAGUGUUAACUAAAGGAAAGACCUCCUUAAGUAGCCUAGUUGGGAUGGGGUCUAAGAGACACGUUGAUGAUUUGGAUGAAGAAAUCACUGCAGUCAAUUCUUGAAGAGAAAUUGGGGAGAAGCAAUCUAAAUAUAUAUUAGAUUUUACAGCUGUGUUUGAGGUUAGAUAGGUACUAUCUGAGGGCAGGAGGUCAUGAAUUUUGCCUCUAAUAGUUAGAAUUUUGUCAUUAAAAAAGCUCAUAAAAUCAUUAUUGCUAAGGGCUAAGGGAAUACAAGGCUCAAUAGAGCUUUGACUCUCAGUCAGCCUGGCUACAGUGCUGAAAAGAAACCUGGGGUUGUUCUUAUUGUCUUCUAUUAGAGCUGAGUAAUAGUUUGCUCUGGCAUUGGAGGCCCCUCUUAUAAGUUUUGAGACUGUCUGUCCAGAUUAAACGAGAUUCUUCCAGUUUGGUUAAUCGCCAAUUCCUUUCAAAUUUUCGUGAUAUUUGUUUUAACUUACAGGUUUGAGAGUUAUACCAAGGAGCGAACUUUCUUUGCUUUUUUAACUUCUUUUUAAGAGGAGCUACAGAGUCGAGCGUUGUUCGUAGCGAGCCUACGGUGCUAUCAACAAAAUGAUCAAUUCGGGAGAGGUUAAAGUCGGCACGGGAAACCUCUGUUACUGAAGGUAUUGGUAUUGAAUUUAACGACGAAGUAAUCUUUUCCUUAAGUUUUGCGACAGCACUAUCUGAUAAACAUCUCGUAUAGUAACUGUUGCUGAGUGGCGUGUAAUCGAGUAAAAAGAAAUCAAAAGUAAUCAGAUAAUGAUCCGAUAGCGAGGGAUUCUGUGGAAAGACUUUUAGGUUAUCAAUUUCAAUUCCAUACGUCAGAACUAGAUCAAGGGUAUGGUUAAAACAAUGAGUAGGUUCAUGUACACCCUGACUGAAGCCAAUGGAGUCUAAUAAUGAGAUAAACGCGGUAGCCAGGGAGUCAUUAUCAACGUCGACAUGAAUGUUAAAAUCGCCUACAAUAAUAACUUUAUCUGAUUUAAGAACUAAACUGGAUAAAAACUCUGAGAAUUCAGAUAAAAAUUCAGAAUUCUGCUUUUAGUAGAAUUAUUCUCAGUGAAAUAAUUUCCAAGUACACAAAAUAUAAAUGUAUUUUUUAAUCAUUAUCAGGUCUGUGAAGUUCAAGUGAGGUGGCAUCAUCAGAAGAGGAAUAUGUGCCUGAUUCCACAGCUGAUUCAAACAGCUCAUGGGACGGCAUAGCAGAGCCUUUAAAAAUCAGUCGCAGACAUUUAGAAUUACAGAAUUUUGAGGUGUCCACCAGCAAGUCUGCUUCAAGAAAGAAAAGACACCACCAAGAAAGUUUUGUAGAAGAAGAGAGAGAGUCAGUUUCUGAAGCUGCAGAAUCAUUAUCUGAAGAUGCAAUCAGCGCAAGUCAACUUGAAGUAUCAGGAGUGACUGCCAAAGUAGGAAAUGCUGAUGCUGAAGGCAUAAUUGUUGAUGAUAGUGCUGAUGCUGGGGCUGAACAGGUCUCAAACACAUCCUCCUCUCUCAAAAAUAAAACUUACUGCUACAUUUGUGGAAAACUACAGACAAAGUUUACAUGUCACCUAAAACGUCACGAGAAAAUACAUGCAGAUGUUGCUCAAGUUUUAAGUCUUCCCAAGAAGUCCAAACAGCUUAUAAAGCUAUGCAACAAGGGAAACCACAUGCAUAACUCAGAGGUCUUAGUUUCAGCGAUCCAACUCCACUUGCUAAGACGCACAGCAAAGACAAAAUACAAUGCAAAAGACUAUACUCACUGCAUGUACGACCAGGCAUUAUAUCUCCGAAGAGAUGUGUGGCGACAUGUUAAAAAAUGUUCUUCAAAACCAGAAGAAGCCAAUUCAGAGAUUGGAAGAAAAAGGUCUUGUCUUUGGCCUCUAUGAAUGAGUCAGCUCUGUGUCAGCAAAUAUCCCCAGGUGUUUGGAAGAUGUUAGCUGUCAUGAAAGAUGAUGAGAUAACUGCUGCUGUGCGAAGUGACUUCUUGAUUCUUCAGCUGGCCGAGUAAUUUUUUAACAAACAUGGACAGGAUCCCACCAAAUACGACUAUAUUCGCCAGACACUCAGAGAAAGUGCAAGACUUCUGCUUACACUUCACAAGGAAUUCUCAAUACAUACUCUUGAGGAUGCUGUGAGACCUGCAAAUUUUGAUGUGGUGAUCAAAGCUGUCAAGAAAGUGUCUGGGUACGAUGACGAAAAGCACUGCUACCGUACUCCAAGCCUUGCAUUAAAGUUGGGUCACUCACUGCAGAAAGUCAGUGACAUUUUACAUUGCAGAGCACUGAUGGCACAAGACAGUAACCUGAUAAAGUCAACCCAGAGUUUGAAAACCCUCUAUGCUACAAAGUGGUCUGAACUCAUCUCCCACACCACUUUAACUAUGCUGAAUGAGCGCCACUUUAACAAGCCUUCCACUCUUCCUUUUACGGAAGAUGUUCAGCGUCUUCAUAGACAUCUGGAAAAGACUACAGAACAAGCACUGAAGGACUUGGAAGACCACAGUUCACCAAAAUCAUAUAGUGAACUUUGUAAAGCCACCAUGGCAAGAAGAGGGGGAGAAAUUUCAAAGAUGACGCUGAAUGGCUUUCUGGAGAGAGACACAAGUGCCCUGCACAAGGAUGUCGCUUUUGGACUGACACAAUUUGAACUUCACCUUUGUCAACACUUCAGUCGUGUUGAAUUAAGGGGUAAAAGAGGCCGGAAAGUUGCAGUGUUACUUUCACCAGACAUGGUGAAGGCCAUAACAUGCCUAAUAGAGAAAAGAAAAGACUGUGGUGUUCUGGCAGAAAACCUGUUCCUGUUUGCCAGACCUCAUUGUCUGACUCCCUACAGAGGACAGGACUGUUUGAGGCUCUAUGCGAGUGAAUGUGGGGCUGAAAACCCUGAGCUCCUCAGGUCGACGCAAUUACGCAAACGUGUCGCAACUUUGUCAGAUCUUGAACCUCAAGAAUCAUGAGUUAGACCAGGUUGCUGACUUCCUUGGCCACGAUAUUCGCGUUCAUCAGGAGUAUUACCGACUUCCAGAGGCUACUAUCCAGCUGGCCAAAAUCUCCAAACUACUGCUUGCCAUGGAGAAAGGGUCUCUCAGAAGCCUUCAAGGCAAAACACUUGAGGAGAUUGAAAUCGAAGAUAACCUACAGUUUACCGAUUCAAGUGCAGAGAGUGAGGUCGAUGCAGAGAGAGAGAGGUCGAUGCAGAGAGUGAGGUCGAUGCAGAGAGAGAGGUCGAUGAAGGAAAUCUCACAUAUUCACAGACUGAUUCUGCAGAGAUGAAAAGAAUGACGAAAUCUGUUGAGGAAGCUCCAGG